rnacentral:tRNA from 1 species
GCCUGGGUGGCUCAGUUGGUUGAGCAUCCGACUUCAGCUCAGGCCAUGAUCUCACGGUUUAUGGGUUCAAGCCCCACGUCAGGCU